GUCUACACUAUGCCUACGGUCUUUGGUCCCUUCCCUCCACUGCCCUGCAAGUCG
rnacentral:sRNA from 1 species